UUUAUAAUAACAAACAUUUCGUAAGCUUUAUACAAAUGUUAAAAAGUUUUAUUAAUCCAUUCAUUUUAAUAGUCGGUAGAUACUACAAUAUUUAAGAAUGUAGCGACUGAUCACCCGCCACCCCGUGUACAAAUAAUGAAAGCAUCCAAUUCAAAACGCGAGGUUUUUGUGUAGUGUGUAUAACCAACUACGGCUGCAGAAUAUACAGAGUCUCUGGUGUUGAUGGAAAGGAUUGUUUACCUAGAGGCAGCUUGGUAUGACAUGUUGCAAAGCAUUCUGUUUGAUUAACAGAUAAUAGAUACUGCAGACACUAAGCAAAUUAUACUUACCUAGCAGUUGCAGUAUUUCAGCCAUGGAGUCAUAAUCUUAGAAUAAAGUUCUUGGUGUUUAGGUGAAUCUGAGGAAAGUCCAAAAUAUUGCAACUGUUCCAGUUGUUAAAAUU
rnacentral:lncRNA from 1 species